GCCGAGAUAGCCAAGGCGGUCACGGCGGGCGCCUGAAGAGCGUCAGAUGGGGGUUCGAUUCCCUCUCUCGGCA
rnacentral:tRNA from 6 species